rnacentral:rRNA from 1 species
ACACGCAUGACACACUGCAUAUCAAUAAGCGGAGGAAAAGAAACUAACAAGGAUUCCCUUAGUAACGGCGAGUGAAGCGGGAAGAGCUCAAAUUUGAAAUCUUCAAGGUUCUACCUUGACGAAUUGUAGUUUAUAGAAGUGUUUUCUGUUAGUAGAGUGGCAAAAGUUCUUUGGAAUAGGACAUCAUAGAGGGUGAGAAUCCCGUAUUUGGUCAUUCUUUCUAGCGUUGUGAUACACUUCCAACGAGUCGGAUUGUUUGGGAAUGCAGUCCAAAAUGGGUGGUAAAUUUCAUCUAAAGCUAAAUAUUGGCGAGAGACCGAUAGCGAACAAGUACCGUGAGGGAAAGAUGAAAAGAACUUUGAAAAGGAGAGUUAAACAGUACGUGAAAUUGUCAAAAGGGAAGCGUUUGACACCAGUGUUGUUUUUCUCGAAAAUCAAUUAAAAAUUGAUUCAUGCCAGGUUGUAUUGACCUUAUCAGCUUGCAAUUUGGUUUUGGGUCUCUUUUUGAUGCACUUUUCGGUUAACAAGUCAACAUCAAUUUCCUUUGCUGUAAAAAGGUAAGAGGAAGGCGGCUUCAAUUUCGGUUGAAGUGUUUAUAGCCUUUUAUCUCUGCAGUCGGGGAGAUUGAGGUCUGCAGCGUAGAUCCUUCGGGGCUAGAUACAUUUAUGCUAAGUUAUAGCUUUUCAUAGACAACUUGUUGACUAUGUUUAGUCAUGUAGCUUACUCGUAAGUGCUAUUUUACCUACGCUUAGGAUGUUGAGCGCAUGUCUCUCUCU